rnacentral:rRNA from 1 species
AGAGUUUGAUCAUGGCUCAGAUUGAACGCUGGCGGCAGGCUUAACACAUGCAAGUCGAGCGGGGAAAGGUAGCUUGCUACCUGACCUAGCGGCGGACGGGUGAGUAAUGCUUAGGAAUCUGCCUAUUAGUGGGGGACAACAUCUCGAAAGGGAUGCUAAUACCGCAUACGUCCUACGGGAGAAAGCAGGGGACCUUCGGGCCUUGCGCUAAUAGAUGAGCCUAAGUCGGAUUAGCUAGUUGGUGGGGUAAAGGCCUACCAAGGCGACGAUCUGUAGCGGGUCUGAGAGGAUGAUCCGCCACGCUGGGACUGAGACACGGCCCAGACUCCUACGGGAGGCAGCAGUGGGGAAUAUUGGACAAUGGGGGGAACCCUGAUCCAGCCAUGCCGCGUGUGUGAAGAAGGCCUUUUGGUUGUAAAGCACUUUAAGCGAGGAGGAGGCUACCGAGAUUAAUACUCUUGGAUAGUGGACGUUACUCGCAGAAUAAGCACCGGCUAUCUCUGUGCCAGCAGCCGCGGUAAUACAGAGGGUGCAAGCGUUAAUCGGAUUUACUGGGCGUAAAGCGCGCGUAGGUGGCCAAUUAAGUCAAAUGUGAAAUCCCCGAGCUUAACUUGGGAAUUGCAUUCGAUACUGGUUGGCUAGAGUAUGGGAGAGGAUGGUAGAAUUCCAGGUGUAGCGGUGAAAUGCGUAGAGAUCUGGAGGAAUACCGAUGGCGAAGGCAGCCAUCUGGCCUAAUACUGACACUGAGGUGCGAAAGCAUGGGGAGCAAACAGGAUUAGAUACCCUGGUAGUCC